GGUUGCGAUCAUACCAGCACUAAUGCACCGGAUCCCAUAAGAACUCCGCAGUUAAGUGUGCUUGGGCGAGAGUAGUACUAGGAUGGGUGACCCCCUGGGAAGUCCUCGUGUUGCAACCCC
rnacentral:rRNA from 1 species